rnacentral:misc_RNA from 1 species
GAUGAAGAACGUAGUGAAAUGCGAUACGUAAUGUGAAUUGCAGAAUUCAGUGAAUCAUCGAAUCUUUGAACGCUUAUUGCGAUCUCUGGUAUUCCGGAGAGCAUGCUUGUUUGAGUAUCAGUAAACACCUCAACUCCCUUUUCUUUUUUGAAAUUGGAGCUGGACUUGAGUGAUCCCAACGCUUUCUUCCAAGAAAGUGGCGGGUUGCUUGAAAUGCAGGUGCAGCUGAACUUUUCUCUGAGCUAUAAGCAUAUCUAUUUAGUCUGCCUAAAAAACAGAUUAUUACCUUUGCUGCAGCUAACAUAAAGGAGACUAGUUCUUGUGAUGACUGAUGCAGGAUUCACAGAGACAGCUUCGGCUGACUUUGUAAACUCGAUCUCAAAUCAAGUAAGACUACCCGCUGAACUUAAGCAUAUCAAUAAGCGGAGGA